AUGUUGCUUUUCAGCCUGCUGAAGGUGGUCACAGCUUUGACGUGGCUAGGAUCUGGUAUUGCCCAGAAGGUAACUCAAGCUCAACCAGCGACACUGGUGCAGGAAAAGGAGCCUGUAACUCUGGGAUGCACAUAUGACACCAGUGAUAGUAGAUAUAGUCUUUACUGGUACAGGCAGCCCAGCAGUGGGGAGAUGAUUCUCAUUAUUCGCCAGGAUUCCUAUAGCCAGAAAAAUGAAACAGAUGGUCGCUACUCACUGAAUUUCCAGAAGGCCAGCAAAUCCAUCAACCUUGUCAUCUCAGCUGCACAACUGAAGGACUCAGCGACCUAUUUCUGUGCACUGAUAGAACUCACAGUGAGAGAACUGUUGGACGAAGGUGCACAAAAACCCCAGGUGUUGGCUUGCAACAUCCACCUGCUGUCAGGACCAAAGAAAGGAGUCUCCAUCACAGACAGGAAGUGGCUAGGCCUGUGGCGACAUAGGUGCAGGGUUUGA